rnacentral:lncRNA from 1 species
CUUUGAUGGCCCGAGACCACAAUUAAUUUCUCUAUCAUUUCUUUAUAACGUUUUGUCGCAUUUAAAAAAUUUUAACUGUUGUUUUUGUCUAAUUUUUUGUGUGUGUAAUGUACAGUACAAGUCCAAAGAUAUAUGCAAUUUUCAGAAAAAUUGCAUCAUUACAUCAUACAAAUUUGGCCAAUACACAUCCCUACCCCUAUAGGCAAGUCAAGAGAUGUUCCGAAAAGUGUAAAUAUAACCUUUUUGCACCUGGCCUAAUCACUCUUCCUUAUUGAAAUCAGUUAAAAUAAAACAUCCAAAAGUUUAUUUCAGCUCUCUUCUUUCAUUUCCACCCCAGAAAAGCUAAGAAAUGAAUGAGAAAGGGAAAGAAAAAAAAUAAAGAAGAAAUACACUAUAACUAAAGGGAACUAUAUUCGUGAACAACGAAAAGAAGGGUCAUUAAUUGUGGUCUUGGGCCU